GAAAUGCGUAGAGAUGUGGAGGAACACCGAUGGCGAAGGCAGCCCCCUGGGUCAAGAUUGACGCUCAUGCACGAAAGCGUGGGGAGCAAACAGGAUUAGAUACCCUGGUAGUCCACGCCGUAAACGAUGUCUACUAGUUGUCGGGUUUUAAUUAACUUGGUAACGCAGCUAACGCGUGAAGUAGACCGCCUGGGGAGUACGGUCGCAAGAUUAAAACUCAAAGGAAUUGACGGGGACCCGCACAAG
rnacentral:rRNA from 1 species